CUCACAUAUUCCAUUUUUAUUAAUGAUACCCUGACGUGCAGCAUAUCCGGACCAGGGGAGCCCGGGAAGUUUCAAUCAGCACACAGAGGAGCUCUUAUAUUGCUUAUUUCAGGGCUUCAUGCAUGAGACUGAACACUGUAUUUUACCCAGCUGCAUGAAUCUGCAAAGAUUAUAAAGCCCAGGGGUUUGCUCUUUUCUUUCAAAGAUGAAAAAAAUAAUAUUUCUUCUUAUUUUAACUGCCAUAACCUCAUAAUAACUCCAGAAGUUCCUUAGAAGCAGCAAACCUCUCCCUGCAGCGACACUGAACGCUGGCAUUUCACACCCGGUGCCUGCAGCACAGUGUGGGCCUGCAGUGGGGCUGGGCUUCACUUGCAGUUCUGCCUGAGGCUCUAUCAGCCCCUUGUUCAGCACUGUGAACACGAAUUCAAAAUCAACUGCCAUUUGUUCGGAGUUCUCUUCAGUUAAACUAAUGGAGCAGCUGGACCUACUGAACACAUUUUACCCAUGCAAUGCUCCACGGCAGCUCGCGACGGAGGGCAGUGCCCCGCUAUUGCCCUGUGCUACGUUGUGUUUAAAAGGAGAACACUAGAUUUAAAAUUCAGCCCUGGAGACAUUCAACCUCACUCCAGAGAUGUCACUGUUCAGCAGGUGGGAUUCAGAGAUGCCUGGAGGGAGACGGAGCCAUUUCCCCACCUCCUGAGCACUUAACUACUUUCUUGGUCAUUCCUGCUUCUUGAAGACGAGACUUUUCAGAUCCCUCAGCCAACCAGAGCAAGAUGAAGCAGUGUAUUUUGCUUUCACAUCCAGUGAGAAACCAUAAAUAUUUCUUCCCAAACUGUAAUGAAGAACAUAUUUUACUAAAAGCAAAGCCAGUGCUAGAUCCUCCUUUCUCACACUUUCUAAAUGCCUGUGAGACGUGACAGAAAU
rnacentral:lncRNA from 1 species